AGGCGCGCGGCAGCCGGCGGGAAGGGCACCAAGCCUGGGCGGCGGCGGCAGGCAAGAAUCCUGGGCAGGGGCCAGGAUGGAUUGAGAGAGGGGUAAAAAUGACUAUACGGGAAAAUUCAGGGAAUGAAUACAUUACAGAUGGGCCCAAAGAGGAGAAAGAGAUAUCCUGAUGGAUAUAGAUGUGCUUAUAUGAAGGACAAGUUGAUAAACGUUGGCACUUUGCAAAAUUGAGAAGCACAUCCUCACCUUUUGCAUGGAGAAAGCAAAGAAAACGAAGCACAAUGAUUGGAAAAUGCAGAGAUCGAAUGAAUAUGCACUUUCUGAUUUUCUGCAAGCUUAGGGACACUGCCUAGAUGGGUAGCUGUACAAAUAAUGUACCGGCUGCUCUCUGUGGGGUAGCAUCCUUCCUUUCUGUGAUCUCAACUAAUUUUUCCCACUUGUUGUGCGUCCGCAAUGGCUCCAGGAGAUAAAUGCACGACGUGUAAGCUGAAGACACCUCACGGAUCUGGACCAAGAAUCCUAAACUUUCAUUUCUUCAA